GUUUGGCCGGAGUGGGCCGUCAUUGUAAAUAAGAAUUUGUUCUUAACCGACUUGCCUAGUUACUUAACUAAAGGUUAAAUAAACAAAUAAAGCUCCUUCAAUCCAUGUCCUUUUCACAAGUCAUUAUUUAUUUAGCUACAGCGUCAUAAAGGUCAAUAGUUUGGGAGUGGUGACAUUUUACCAGUGUGAAACACAAAGUCCAACGCAGUGGUGAAUGGGCAGAUUUUAUUUUCACAUUUUAUUUAUUUUUCCCAUUGGUCCACACAUCAGGAGUUGGCUGGAUGGCUCCAUGCCCAGUUUCCAGAGCAUUACCCUGACAACAACCACAAGCCUGAGAUGGCCAUCGCACUUACUCAAUUUGAAGGCCUCUGUGGCUUCAGACCCGUGGAAGAGAUCAUUGGCUUUCUCAAAUAGUUUCACGCCCUUGUCGGAAAGGAGGCGGCGGAGGAACGGCAGAGCAGUAUCGGGGAGGCGCUCCGCAACUCGCUGGCCCUCAAGAAGUGCUUCACCCGCAUGAUGAACUGUGAAAAAAAGGUGUUUGUGGACCAACUCAACAUGCUGGUGAAAAGAGUCACUGAGGAUGGUUAGAGCAUUAUACAACAAGUAUUUUAUUUUUGUGACACCUUUACACUUCCUCAUAUAGCUAGAACCCAACUAGACUGGUCCCAGAUCUGUUUGUGCUGUAUUGCCGCCAAAUAUGUCAUGUUUGGCAUGACAACGACCAUAGCAGAAAAGCACAAACAGAUCUAGGAUCAAGCUAGGCCUGUCCGUUGAAGUUCACAAAGGAUACUGUAUGGCUCAAACAGUCAUGCAACAAUUUCAACGGUUUUACUGAGUUACAGUUCACAUAAGGCAAUCAGUCAAUUGAAAUAAAUUCAUUAGGCCCUAAUCUAUGGAUGUCACAUGACUGGGAAUACAGAUAUGCAUCUGUUGGUCACAGAUACCUCCUUAAGGAUCGGACCCUUUUUAAAAAUCUUGCCUAAAAUGACAUACCCAAAUCUAACUGCCUGUAGCUCUGGACCUGAAGCAAGGAUAUGCAUAUUCUUGAUACCAUUUGAAACCAAACACUUUGAAGUUUGUGGAAAUGUAAAAGUAAUGUAUCGGAAUGUAACACAUUCAAUAUUGUUUUAUCUUCUUAGAAAUGCAGGAGAAAGGCCACAAUGUAUUAUUGCAGUUUAGGAGCAAUUUAGAUUUUGGCCACUAGAUGGAAGCAGUGUAUUUGCAAUGUUUUAUACUGAUCCAAUGAACCAUUGCAUUACUGUUCCAAAUGUUGUAUCAAGUCUGCCCAAAUGUUCCUAAUUGGUUUAGUUACAUUUUCAAGUACAUAACUGUGCACUGUCAAACAAUAGCAUGGUAUUAUUUCAAUGUAAUAGCUACUGUAAAUUGGACAGUGCAGUUAGAUUAACAAGAAUUUAAACUUUCUGCCCAUAUAAGACAUCUCUAUGUCCGGGGGAUUUUUCUUGUUCCUUAUGUAACGGAUGUGAAACGGCUAGCUUAGUUAGCGGUGCGCGCUAAAUAGCGUUUCAAUCGGUGACGUCACUUGCUCUGAGACCUUGAAGUAGUAGUUCCCCUUGCUCUGCAAGGGCCGCAGCUUUGGAAGAGCGAUGGGUAACGAUGCUUCUAGGGUGACUGUUGUUGAUAUGUGCAGAGGGUCCCUGGUUCGCGCCCGGAUAUGGGCGAGGGGACGGUCUAAAGUUGUACUGUUACACUUACAAUGUCAUGCUAAUCAAAUUAGCGCACGUUAGCUCAAAAGUCCCACAGGGGGGACACCAAUCCCGUAGAGGUAAAUAAAAAAGUAGGGUCGUGGAUCAGAAAACCAGUCAGUAUCUGGUGUGAUCACCAUUUGCUUCAUACAGCGCCAUCCUUUGCAUAGAGUUGAUCAGGCUUGUGGUCUGUGAAAUGUUCUCCCACUCCCCUUCAAUGGCUGUGCGAAGUUGCUCGAUAUUGGUGGGAACGCGCACACGCUGUAGUACACAUUGAUCCAGAGCAUCCCAAACAUGCUCAAUGGGUGAUAUGUCUUGUGAGUAUGUAGGCCAUGGAAGUACUGGGACAUUUUCAGCUUCCAUGAAUUGUGUAUAGUUUAUUAUAGUUGUCCAUAGCAUAUGCCUGUACAUGCCAUAACCCGACCAUGUUUAAAUCCGUGAAGAGCACACUUAUCCAGGGUGCCAGUGGGCACUGAUGGUGAGCAUUUUCCCACUGGUUACGACGUUGAACUGCAGUCAGGUCAAUACCCUGGUGAGGACAACCAGCACGCAGAUGAUCUUCCCUGAGACAUUUCUGACAGUUUGUGUGGAAAUUCUUUGGUUGUGCAAACCCACAGUUUAAUCAGCUGUCCGGGUGGCUGAUGUCAGACGAUCCUGCAGGUGAAGAAGCCGGAUGUGAAGGUCCUGGGCUGGGUGGUUACACGUGGUCUGCAGUUGUGAGGCCGGUUGGGCGUACUACCAAAUUCUCUAAAACAAUGUUGGGGGCGGCUUAUGGUAGAGAAAUUAACAUUAAAUUAUCUGGCAACAGCUCUGAUGGACAUUUCUGCAGUCAGCAUGCCAAUUGCACGCUCCCUCAAAAUAUGAGACAUCUGUGACAUUGUGUUGCAUGACAAAACUGCACAUUUUAGAGUGGCCUUUUAUUGUCCCCAGCACAAAGUGCACCUGUGUAAUGAUCAUGCUGUUUAAUCAGCUUCAUGAUAUGUCACACCUGUCAGGUGGACGGAUUAUCUUGGAAAAAGGAGAAAUGUUCACUAACAGGGAUGUAAAUAAAAUUGUGCACCAAACUUUGAGAGAAAUAAGCUUUUUGUGAGUAUGGAAAAUUACUGGAUCUUUUAUUUUAGCUCAUGAAACAUGCGACCAACACUUUACAUGUUGCAUUUCUAUUUUUGUUCAGUAUAGAUCAGCUACACAUACUGAGACAGAUAGCAUCCGAGCGAGCGAAACAGCCAUCUCCAGUGAGAUAAAUUCAGCCUCUUCCCGAAUUGAAGGAAGAAUCUGAAUCACAGAGAGACGAAAUAUAUAUGAAAUUAAUAUAUUUUAUUUUCUUGGUAAAUGUUUUGGGCGAAACCUGGCUUCACUUAGCAUCAAUGAAUACAUGCCACUGAAGAAACUGACUGUUAAAACUGCCAAAUCCCACCGGAUAGAUGAUGAAUUGAAAAAACGGUAUGGCUGAGAGGGAUGAGGCAAAGGGAAUGGCAAAUAAGCCUAGCAACACAGCAGAUUGGCAAAGAUACAGUAAAUUGAGAAAUUCACGUAACUAAACAAAAAUAAACAAAUACUAUACUAUGUAACAAAGAUAAAUCAUUUAAAGAAUACUAGUAAAAAGCUUGAGUACCUUAAAUGAAUUUCUAGGCAGAAAGGCUAGCUAAGCGCCAUUUUGUAUUGAGGCUGAUAGCUCAUUCAUGAUAAAAAAUCUAAUAAAACAAAAGCCUUUGAUUUUGCCAAACACAAAUAACUUUUGUUGACAAGAUUAGAACAUUUAGGCAUGACAUGCAAACAACAAAUGCUGUGCUUUUAAAUUCACGCAUAACGAACCAAAUAAUGAAAGCCAAUCACUGUAGCUUUGAAGUCCGCAAAGUUAGUGUGGAAGAGGUGAAAAAAAAUACUGCUCUCUCUAAAUAAGGACAAGCCACCUGGUACCGACAACCUGGAUGGUAUAUUACUGUGGUUGGUACGGCUGGCCAUGCUUUCCACCUGGCUACUCCUACCCCGGUCAACAGUACUGCACCCCCAACAGCAACUCGCCCAAGCCUUCCCCAUUUCUCCUUCUCCCAAAUCCGUUCAGCUGAUGUUCUGAAAGAGCUGCAAAAUCUGGACCCCUACAAAUCAGCCGGGCUAGACAAUCUGGACCCUUUCUUUCUAAAAUUAUCUGCCGAAAUUGUUGCCACCCCUAUUACUAGCCUGUUCAACCUCUCUUUUGUGUCGUCUGAGAUUCCCAAAGAUUGGAAAGCAGCUGCGGUCAUCCCCCUCUUCAAAGGGGGGGACACUCUUGACCCAAACUGCUACAGACCUAUAUCUAUCCUACCGUGCCUUUCUAAGGUCUUCGAAAGCCAAGUCAACAAACAGAUUUCCGACCAUUUCGAAU
rnacentral:lncRNA from 1 species